ACUUGAAUUGAAGAGUUUGAUCAUGGCUCAUAUUGAACGCUGGCGGCAGGCUUAACACAUGCAAGUCGAACGGUAGCAGGAGAAAGCUUGCUUUCUUGCUGACGAGUGGCGGACGGGUGAGUAAUGCUUGGGAAUCUGGCUUAUGGAGGGGGAUAACGACGGGAAACUGUCGCUAAUACCGCGUAUUAUCGGAAGAUGAAAGUGCGGGACUGAGAAGCCGCAUGCCAUAGGAUGAGCCCAAAUGGGAUUAGGUAGUUGGUGGGGUAAAUGCCUACCAAGCCCUGCGAUCUCUACCUGGUCUAAGAGAUGACCAGUCCCCCUGGAACUGAAACACAGGCCAAACUCCCUACGGAGCGAACAUGGGGGAAUAUUGCCAAUGGGGGGGAAACCCUGCGCACCCUUGUCCGUCGAAAAAAAAAUGCCUUCGGGUUGUAAGUUCUUUUGUAUUGAGGAAGGUUGAUUUUUUUAAUAUCUAUCCAAUUUACUAUUAAAUAUAAAAAAUUCUAGAUUAAUCCUGCGCACUAACCUCGGAUUUCAAGAGGGCUGGGGGUUAUCUAUAUUUCUGUCCGAUAGCCCACCCUAGCUCUUUUUCGUCAUGUGGAUACGCGCCCUUCUUCACUCCCAUGUCACUUACAGAGGAUCACUACCCC
rnacentral:rRNA from 1 species